ACUCCAGUGACGCAGUGGUUAGCGUGUCGUUCUUAUAUUGUUCUGAUCUGUCAAACAAUAUGAUCAGCAUUAGCAAUGCGAAAGUCGUGGGUUCGACACCCACCUGGAGUA
rnacentral:tRNA from 1 species